ACUAUAGAGGUUAAUAAUUGACCUAGUUAUUCGAUUACUUGAUUAUCUGACUCAAGGAUAAACAAGGGAAAUUAGGUUUUAAAAUAUUGAACUAAAUAGUUAUUAGGAGUAGAAUGAUCGAGAUGUAGAUCGUAAUUCAAAGUAGAGAGGUCCUGUGAAAGCGAAGAAGUCUUCGAUAGAAUUAUUGAUUAAGAUGACCCGUCGAAUGAACCUCGAAGAAUAACUUCAUUUGAAUGAAUAAUUAAAAGAUUUUAAUUUAAGUAGUUUAAGCAAUUUUUAGGAUAUAAGAUUAUAUAUAAGUAAUUAGUAUAUAAGAGUAACACGAUAGUUCAUACUAAUCCUUGUAUCCGACAGGGGGUAAUUUUAAAAUUGGAGAGUGUCUAGAUUUUUUAAAUGUAACCUAGGGAAUUAAUCAGAUUUAUUGAAUAUUCUCUACAGUCGUCACUGGGGUAAAGAAUUAUUGUCAAUAGCAAUAACAAAAAAAAAAUUUUCUAGAGUCAUAAUUAUUAUUAAGUGGUAGGUAAGCGUAUUUAAUAUAAAUAGUGUACUUUAAUAUAGCAUUUUACCCUUAAACCAUCUUGGAUUAAACAAAUUCGAACAUAUUAGAACAAAAAUAAAUUAUAAUCAAAUUUUUAAGAAUUUUUAAGAGUUGAAACAGCACAAUAUAAUAAUAUUCGUUGGGUCUUAAGAAGCGAAGAGCACCGUUGUCGCAAUAAGAUCAAUUUUUCGGGUGCGUUAUUACGCUGACCUUGCCUAUAAUUUAUGUCAGCAAAAAUAAAAAAAAAGUAACAAUAUCGACAAUGAUUAUUAUACACCUUAUAAUUCUUAUAUUUUCGGAAAAUUCUUAAAUUGUAAUUAUAUUGUCAUCUCAUUGCUAUACAUAUUUUACUAUUUUAGUGCUAGCCCCGGGCCGAGAUUUGAAUGGAUUUUAUAUUCUAGAAACGAAAGGUUUUAACUGGUCUACGUGAACAGGCGACUCGACCAAAAUAUUGUUUUUUGGCAGAUUUAUCAAAAAACUAUAUGGACCUAUUUUCUUUAAAAUAACAUAAGGGCCUUCAUACCUAUCUGAAAAUUUAUUACCCUUUACCGGAACUUUAACUAAGACUUUGUCUCCCGUUUUAAACGAUUGAAAAUUAUUCGAUGAUAAUAGUUUUUGUUUAGUUUGUUCGGAUUGUUUCUCUAAUAAUUGGGGUAAUGAUUUUCUAAUAUGUUUGAUUUUAUUAAUUUCAUCGAUAACGUUCCCAUCGGAAGGGGGAAUUAGUGCAAUAUCAAACAUGCUUUUAGGAUUAUAGCCGUGAACUAAAUAAAAUGGCGUAUAAUUUGUAACCGAAUGUAUUGAAGUA